AGGCUAAAUACUGGCACGAGUCCGAUAGCGAACAAGUACCGUGAGGGAAAGUUGAAAAGUACUCUGAAGAGAGAGUAAACAGUACGUGAAGCCGCAUGCAGGUAAACGGGUGGCGUCAAGCUGCGAGCCCGGAGGAUUCAGCUGAUUAGGAUGUAGUGUACGUGCGCCUGGUGCGUCGAGAGGCCGGAAUAAGAUGUGUGUGUCGGUCCACUCCUCUGCUGGGAGUGGGGCGCUGCCGGUGUGUGCAUGCUUGCAUGUGUGCGCCGGUUGUCGCUAUGCGUGCCGGAUGGGUGCCGGAGCAUGCCGCACUAGUCUGUUGGGCCGCCUAGUCAGUGCAUUUUCUCCGUGGUGAACACCACGACCGGUGGAACUGCCAGUCUGCUGUGAUCAAGUCGUGUCCUUCUGGUCUGCCCAUCCUUUCAACGGGGUGUGUGUGUGUGCUGGGUGGACACGAUCGCAGGUGGAGUCGGUGAACGGCGCAGUGGUGCCUCGGUACUGCCGCGUGUUAUCGUGCACUCUCCAUCCCCCUCAACGAUUAAUGGGGUCGACUGGGUGCUGUGACAACUUCUCCAUUAGUCGGCGGAUUGCAGUGGUGAAAGUGACUGUGCAGGGCACCGGAGUUGUCCACCUCAUUCAAAUAUGGUACCCGGCACGCACGUUACAGGUG
rnacentral:rRNA from 1 species